GUGCUCACUUCAGCAGCACAUAUACUAGAAUUGGAACAAUAUGGAGAUUAGCAUGGCCCCUGUAUAAGGAUGACCCACAAAUUUUGUGAAGCAUCCCAUAAAAAA